UUGAUGCCCCUAUAGUUGUUGCAGCACUGGAUGUCCCCUUUGUUCUUGUACAAGGGCACCACUGUACUCCACCUCCACUCCUCCGGCAUCCUUUUAGUCUUGAAGAUUUCAUUGAACAGCCUAGAGAGCCACUCCCCUCCAGCUUUACCCAUGCACUUCCAGAGAUCCACCGGGAUCUCGUCAGGCCCGGUCGCUCGACCCCUACUCAUCCUAUGCAAUGCCCCUAAGACCUCCUCCACCCUGAUGCGUCUGCAGUACCCAAGGUCUCUAUGACGCUCUGAAUGCCCCAACUCCCCUAGCUCUAUGCUCCGAUCCCCCUCCUCGUUAAGAAGGUCCCG
rnacentral:lncRNA from 1 species